rnacentral:rRNA from 1 species
UACGUAGGUGGCAAGCGUUGUCCGGAAUUAUUGGGCGUAAAGCGCGCGCAGGCGGUCCUUUAAGUCUGAUGUGAAAGCCCACGGCUCAACCGUGGAGGGUCAUUGGAAACUGGGGGACUUGAGUACAGAAGAGGAAAGCGGAAUUCCACGUGUAGCGGUGAAAUGCGUAGAGAUGUGGAGGAACACCAGUGGCGAAGGCGGCUUUCUGGUCUGUAGCUGACGCUGAGGCGCGAAAGCGUGGGGAGCAAACAGG